ACCCAGCUAGUGUGCUUGGCAUCCCAGCUGAAGUAGGUAGACCUACACCUUCCUCCUCUCAGAAGGAUUGCCAUGAGAGCCAGCAGGCCGAUAAAAACAAGGCAGUUGGUGAGUCAUCCAGGCAUCCAAAUGUUCCAAUGGUUGAUGCAGUUUGCAGCUCAGCUGAUGGACCAUCUGGAAGAAAAAGAACUCGAACGACAGUCGCCAUGCCUCCUCCAUUAGCGAAGAAGCUGAGGAGAAAAGUAAAUCGAUGGUCCCGUGCGGAGGUGGAAGCCCUGGAAGAUGGC
rnacentral:lncRNA from 1 species